UACUGAACUAUAUUCGAAACUAUCAGAGUGUAUAGCAGAUUAGAGCAGAUUACAGCAGCCUUAAAGAUUGUUGGCCAUUAACGGUUAUCCAUGGCACUAAAACUACUUGAUCUCAAUACAUUCACCUCACAACACUUGUUGGCGAAAACAUGUGCUAUAGCACCAAAGAAGUUGAGGUCAAAUUAAUGAGGUCAUCGACUUGAAGAUUGAUAAAUAUGGUUCUGUUAUUAUGCAGGAGUUGUGUGAUCUGAGGAGAAACU